AUCUGUGGGAUUGGGCUUUGGGGUAGCGUAGCCAAUAUCAUAUAGCAGCCUGGCUCAGAAACAGCUCAUUUUGUACAGCACAUUAAACUCCUGAGGCUACUGAACUGCGACAAAGAUAAACAUGAAAAAUACUUUGAAGGGACACCCCACGGGGAAUGGAUAUCAUUUUCCUGUGGAAUUAACUUUCCUCUAGCUUUUGAAAUGUAUCAUUGUUCCCUUCUGAUUGCACACUCUUGGCCUGAGUAUCUGUCAUCGUAUGGAAAAUGGAAAAUGUGUAGUCUAAUCCUAGUUUUCCAGUUAAUUAUUCCUGCCUCAGAGCCUGUUCUUCGGGAUGGCUUCCAUUCUUCCCAGCUGGACCAAGGCACAAUUCAUACCACAUUGUUUCUUUCAUCUUGUCCUUCUUCAUGGUGAAGAAGGGAUUGCCCGGUUAGGCGUGCAAGCCAAGAGGAGACGCAACUCACCUGUAGUUAGUGAAAGACUCAAGCAGCUUUAAGAGAAUGAAACCUGGAUCACACUUACAUUCCAGAAGAAGGUACACCCUCUUCCUAACACUCAUAGCGAGGUUCUGGUUUAAGAAUUGGUAGAAUACGUUGCAAGUGCUAAACUAGUCUGAUACAUAACCAAUUGCUAUACAAUUCGCAUCUAAGCUAUGGUGUUUAUUCAGCCAUGAAGGGCAGAAAACUAUUACUUAUAUGACUUGGUAACUGUGUAAACACAUCUUCUGCGGAGUUAAGUGCUUAGACAACCCAUGAACUGCAAUGUGUACGUGCAAAUGGCACAUGUGUUUAAAGUAAGGCAGUUAUGAUUGAGGCUACAGCUGAGACUGUUUACUUUUUGGUUGAAAAAAUAAAGUAACUCCCAAUUGUUUUACUAGGAAUGGUCCAAUAUUCUUCAUACCCACAAAAAAAAAUAUGACCAGACUUCAUCACUUCUAUGUUAAAAAUAUAACCCGGUGUUUAACCCCCAUUAAAGCUCUAUGUUUGCAGGAUCGGACCCAAAAUGGUGAGUUUGAAGGAGAAGGGAAAGAAAUUGUUCCAGUAACAGCUCCUGUUCCAAGAUCCUAGUCAAUUUUGUCAUUAGUUAGAAUCAUUAAUAAGGUGAAAUUUGACAGGCUCUUUACAUUAUUGACUUAAAUUUCAAAAACCAGUGUCCAAAAUGCAUUGUUUUGAAAAUCAGUCAGCACCAAUUUGAAGAGAAACGAUUUAUGUGACUCAUUCCUAAUUAUUUUCUGUCUACCUCAAAAGUAAUUGUGCUUUUUAAAAGUUGGCUGCAGUGUUAAUGAAACUAUUUUCUGAUUUGCGGUAAUAAAACCAAUUUUGUUCUAUUGAAACUGUUAGGGAAAAAAUUGGACUCUAUUGGCAUUUAUUGUUUUUCUCUGCAGGCAUUUCAGACUACAUGAAUUAUUUAUUUGUCACUUUGCAGGAGAAAUAAAAAUAUUGCUGCUUAGAUACCUUCAUAAUCCUUAGAGAGGGCAUGUGCCAGCUCUUCCAUUAGCAGAAAUAUAGGAAAAUCAAGCUGCCAGGCAUCCUGGAGUUAAGCAAACUCCUGACAAUCUACUGAGGUUAUUUUGGUGAAAGCCGUGUGUGACACAUCUGAUGGGAACCCAGAUGAAACUAAUUUGGGUAGAUUAGGGAAAAAAAAAGUGUUAUGAUAAACCAUCAUCUCAAAGUGACAUAAAAACAAUGAGGAGGAUCAUGUCCAGCAGAGUUGGGCAGCGAUGGCUUGCCAGUCGCUUUGGUCUUCCUUCUUGGCUCAGCAUGGACGCAGCUGCUGCCCACACUCUGGCCACUGCGCUUAGGAUCUGGCCAAGGUGUGUAUCUCCCUUUGUCACCUCAAAGCAUUAGUUUCACGUCGACUCUUGUCCUCCUGAUGCUCCUGCUGUUUGUGGCUUACCUGCAGCGGGACAGCAAAGACUUCCUAACUUGAUGGUCAGUGCAACAGCCCAGCAAGAGACAGCAGAGGGCUGUGACUGUGCCCGCUGGGAAUCUCUCCUUUGGGCAGCUGGCGCGUAGGGAACGGGGAAAUGAGAGGCCCAGGUUGCCCAGAGAAAUCGUGGCUGCCCCAUCCCGGGAGGUGUUCAAGGCCAGGUUGGACGAGAUUUUGAGCAAAGAGAUCUAGUGGGAGGUGUCCCUGCCCAUGGCGGGGGCUGGAACUGGAUGGGCUUUGAGGUCCCUUCCAACUCAAAACUAUUCUGUGAUUCUAUUUCUCCCAUCAAUCGGGAGGACAGAGCCUCCAGCAUUGUAGCAGCUUCCUGUUCUCCAUGUUGUCACAGAUCAACGCUGGAGGAAUCCCCAAGAUAGGGGCAGCACGGUGAGGACUUAUACAACCCUGUCAUUUCCUUCUUUUCCUCUUCCCAUGCCUUCCCAAAACUCCAGGGCAGCAGUUGCUCUCCACUCCACGUUAGAUUUGUUCCACAGACGUGCUGGAAAUUAACUCCUGCGCUGCUCUCUCCCUUCAGCCCUGCACUGGGAGCUGAGCUAUGACAGGAACAGAGACUGCUUUUACUUCUGUACUAUGGAGGAGAGCCGUGGCAUCCAAUGCUUGCAUGUGCCGCAACAAGAUGCUGAAAAGUAACAAAAUUCAUGAGACAACCAGCAAGUUACUUGGCAACCCCAAGAAGUGUGUGGAGUGAAGGUGGGAGAGCGGGUUUUCCAGCCAUCCAAACACCCAGGAUGUUUUUAACAUUGCAGACAGCGCUGCUCCUUCAUCCACAAAGGAGAGUUAGGGAAUGGAGAUAACCUGCCACGGGAUGCAAACGUUCUUUACGGGUAAGACAGGAAAGAAGAAAUGUGUGAAUCGAUAGGAAGAGAUACGUAAGAAGGUUAGAGAAUGUGACAGUAUGUCUUCUGCAGCUACUGAGGUGCUUUGAGCAAAAUGAGGGGUCUUCGCUAUUUUUAUGUUUUGUAAAAAUGUUGCGUAUUUUAGCUUUUUUGUGGAAUUAAAACAGUUUUAUGUGCUUCCUAGUAAAUGUUUCUGGCAAAUGGUUGC